rnacentral:tRNA from 1 species
CCGGCCGGGGGCGCCGGAAGCUCGGGCCCCGUGCCGGCCCGGGCCUUUCCGGUCCGGACCGGAAAGGCCCGCCCCGAUCGGGUCCGGCCGGU